rnacentral:rRNA from 1 species
AUUGAACGCUGGCGGCAGGCCUAACACAUGCAAGUCGAACGAGUGGCGGACGGGUGAGUAAUGUCUGGGAAACUGCCUGCUGUAGGGGGAUAACUACUGGAAACGGUAGCUAAUACCGCAUACCAUCGGAUGUGCCCAGAUGGGAUUAGCUAGUAGGUGGGGUAAAGGCUCACCUAGGAGACGCUCCAUAGCUGGUCUGAGAGGAGGACCAGCCACACUGGAACGGAGACACGGUACAGACGCCUACGGGAGGCAGCAGUGGGGAAUAUUGGACAAUGGGCGCAAGCCUGAUGCAGCAAUGACGCGUGGAUGAAGAAGGUCUUCGGGUUGUAAAGGACUGUCAGCGGGGAGGCGUUACCCGAAGAAGAAGCACCGGCUAACUCCGUGCCAGCAGCGGCGGUAAUAC